UACGAAGGGGGCUAGCGUUGUUCGGAAUUACUGGGCGUAAAGCGCACGUAGGCGGAUCAUCUAGUCAGGGGUGAAAUCCCGGGGCUCAACCUCGGAACUGCCUUUGAUACUGAUGGUCUCGAGUCCGAUAGAGGUGAGUGGAAUUCCUAGUGUAGAGGUGAAAUUCGUAGAUAUUAGGAAGAACACCAGUGGCGAAGGCGGCUCACUGGCCCGAUACUGACGCUGAGGUGCGAAAGCGUGGGGAGCAAACAGG
rnacentral:rRNA from 1 species